ensembl:lncRNA
AAUUUCCAAGGAAAGAGGGGAGAAAAGUCACCUCUUGGUAAUAAAAUAUGUAAAGAAGAUGAGUUAAGAUUAGUGUGAAACUUAGCCACAUGCAUAAAUACUGCAUGCAGGAUUUGUUCUGAAGCCUGGGAAGAAGUGCGAGGUCCAAUGGCCACAUCUGGUGAGGUGCUUCCUGCUGAUGGAGACUGCAGAGUUCUGAGGUGGCACAGGACACCACAGAUACAAGAGGCCCUUGCACACCUGGAAAUGAGAUGUGAGAUGGUGAUUCAUGGAAAUAUGAG